UCAGUAACACGUAGUCAACCUGCCCUGGAGACAUGGACAACCCCGGGAAACUGGGAUUAAUCCGUGAUAGGUCAUCUCAUCUGGAAGGCGAGAUGGCUUAAAGGGGUACGCGGGCUUCUUCUGCGUAUCCGCUCCAGGAUGGGACUGCGCCCGAUCAGGCUGUUGGCGGGGUAAUGGCCCACCAAACCUGUAACCGGUACGGGCCUUGAGAGAGGUGGCCCGGAGAUGGACACUGAGAGAAGGGUCCAGGUCCUACGGGGCGCAGCAGGCGCGAAACCUUCGCAAUGCGCGAAAGCGUGACGAGGUUAAUCCGAGUGGCUUCCGCUGAGGAGGCCUUUUGUCAGCUGUAAAUAGGCGGGCGAAUAAGGGGAGGGCAAGCCUGGUG
rnacentral:rRNA from 1 species